GGUUUGAUCCUGCUCAGAUUGAACGCUGGCGGGAUGCUUUACACAUGCAAGUCGAACGGCAGCACGGACUUCGGUCUGGUGGCGAGUGGCGAACGGGUGAGUAAUGUAUCGGAACGUGCCUAGUAGCGGGGACAACUGACGCGAGCAGCCAUUACCGUAUACGCCCUUCGGGGGAAAGCGGGGGACCUUCGGCCUCGUACUAUUAGAGUGGCUGAUAUCGGAUUAGGGGCUAGUUGGGUGGGUAACGGCUCACCAAGGCGACGAUCCGUAGCUGGUUUGAGAGGACGACCAGCCAUACUGAUCGAGACACGGCCCAGACUCCUACGAGGCAGCAGGGGAAUUCCUUGAUAAUGGGGAAACUCGAUCCAGCCAUCCUUGGCGUGUGCGAUGAAGGCCUUCGGGUUGUAAAGCACUUUUGGCAGGAAAGAAACGGCACGGGAUAAUACCCCGUGCAACCGACGGUACCCAGAACAAGCACCGGCUAACUACGCCAGCAGCCGCAAUACGUAGGGUGCAAGCGUUAACCGGAAUUACUGGGCGUAAAGCGUGCGCAGGCGGGUUCUGAAAGAAAGAUGUGAAACUGAGCCUAACUUUGGAAACUGGGCAUUUUUAACUACCGAGCUAGAGUGUGUCAGAGGAGGUGGAAUUCCGCGUGUAGCAGCGAAAUGCGUAGAUAUGCGGAGGAAGCACUGAUGGCGAAGGCAGCCUCCUGGGAUAACACUGACGCUCAUGCACGAAAGCGUGGGGAGCAAACAGACGAUACCCGGUGAGCCCACGCCUCAAACGAUGUCAACUAUUGUUAGCCUUUCGGGCCUGGUAGCGCGGCUAACGCGUGAAGUUGACCGCCUGGGGAGGAUGGUCGCAAGAUUAAAACUCAAAGGAAUUGACGGGGACCCCACAAGCGGUGGAUGAUGAUUGAACUUGAUGCAACGCGAAAACCUUACCUACCCUUGACAUGUCUGGAAUCCCGAAGAGAUUUGGGAGUGCUCGCAAGAGAACCGGAACAGUGGUGUUAGAUGGCUGCCGCCGCCUGUGUCGUGAGAUGCUUGAAGCUGUCCCAACGCGCAACCCUUGUCAUUAGUUACGGAAAGGGCACCUGUAGACGACUGCCGGUGACAAACUGAGAAGGUGGGACACGUCAAGUCCUCAUGCGGCCCUGCGGUGUAGGGCUUCACACGUCAUACAAUGGUCGGGACAGAGGUCGCCAACCCGCGAGGGGAGCCAAUCCAGAAACCCGAUCGUAGUCCGGAUCGCAGGCCCGUAACUCGACUGCGUGAAGUCGGAAUCGCUAGUAAUCGCGGAUCAGCAUGUCGCGGUGAAUAUGUUCCCGGGUCUUGUACACACCGCCCGUCACACCAUGGGAGGCUUACUUCCAGAUGAAGUUAGCCUAAACCGGUGAGGGCGAUUACCACGGUAGGAUUCAGCGACCUGGGUAAUGCGGUACUGGCGAAGCCGCUCAGGAGCACAUGUAACUGAACGGCGCAUAAUGCU
rnacentral:rRNA from 1 species